rnacentral:rRNA from 1 species
GAGCGGCGAACGGGUGAGUAACACGUGGGUGAUCUGCCUUGCACUUCGGGAUAAGCCUGGGAAACUGGGUCUAAUACCGGAUAUGACCAUUGGAUGCAUGUCUGGUGGUGGAAAGAUUUAUCGGUGUGAGAUGGGCCCGCGGCCUAUCAGCUUGUUGGUGGGGUAAUGGCCUACCAAGGCGACGACGGGUAGCCGACCUGAGAGGGUGACCGGCCACACUGGGACUGAGACACGGCCCAGACUCCUACGGGAGGCAGCAGUGGGGAAUAUUGCACAAUGGGCGAAAGCCUGAUGCAGCGACGCCGCGUGAGGGAUGACGGCCUUCGGGUUGUAAACCUCUUUCGACUCCGACGAAGCGAGAGUGACGGUAGGAGUAGAAGAAGCACCGGCCAACUACGUGCCAGCAGCCGCGGUAAUACGUAGGGUGCGAGCGUUGUCCGGAAUUACUGGGCGUAAAGAGCUUGUAGGCGGUUUGUCGCGUCGUCUGUGAAAACUCACAGCUCAACUGUGAGCUUGCAGGCGAUACGGGCAGACUUGAGUACUUCAGGGGAGACUGGAAUUCCU